CCCUUAGAUGUUCUGGGCCGCACGCGUGCUACACUGAACGGUUCAAUGGGUAAGGUAGUGCGAAAGCAUGACCUAAUCUCGAAAUCCGUUCGUGCUGGGGAUAGAAGCUUGCAAUUAUCCUUCUUGAACGAGGAAUACCUUGUAAGCGUGAGUCAUCAUCUCACGCUGAAUACGUCCCUGCCCUUUGUACACACCACCCGUCGCUCCUACCGAUUGAGUGUUCCGGUGAGGCUUUGGGAGAAUGGCCUCAACAUGAGUUUAUCGUGUUUUGCCGUUUGAACUUAGUCAAACCUUAUCACUUAGAGGAAGGAGAAGUCGUAACA
rnacentral:rRNA from 1 species